rnacentral:misc_RNA from 1 species
GGACUUCCGAAAAAUGGAAAGGAUAAUGUGAGCUCCGGUUAAUCGCAGUAUAUUUCUUCAACAAGAUCCGGUCUUCUUCUUCUUCAUAGUGAGGCAGUCUUCUUCUUCUGUUUGACAAGUAUUUUUCUUCAUCUCCAUUGGUCUUAGUCUCCAACAGUAAUCUUCUUCUACCGCAAUUUUUUAUAAAGUUUUUUCUCAGAUUGGAGACUCUUUUUCCUUCCAAAGCUCAUCAAAACUAGCUCGUGGUCGUUGAAGCUUGUGGCCAGCUCGUGCUCGUCCCAGUAUGGCUGCUCCAAAGAAGGUUUGGGGCUUAUUCUAAGUAGAAUUUAAAGUUUAUUCUCUUGUCAAUUAAAUUUGUUGGCCUGGCUACAUGUUUCCAGCAGGAUUUGAAUAGUCAUGAGUCAACAAGAGCCUUCGAAAAGAUACAAAAGAGCAAAAAAGAACCUUGCUUUACGUGGAUCAUUAUCAUUCUGGGCAAAUAAAAAACAACGAUUAUUGACAACAAAUGAAAUAUUUCAAGCUAUAGAGUGAGGAAACGACAUUUUCUAAACUUAAUUGAAGAACAACAUCAAGGCGUAGCACCAAAAUCUCAAGCAAAUGAAUAAUCUGAAGAAAUUAGGCAAUCUUUAGAGGAACAACCUCCAGAUGAGCAGCCCCUAGAAGAGCAAGUGGAAAUUAAUUCUAUCAUUCCUCCAACAAAUGAACAAUCUGAAUAAAUACUAAGAAUCGAAAAAAGCAGAUGAACCCACACACCGCUGGCAAAAAGAGUUUUGCUUUAGUCCGUAACAAAUUGGAAAAAGAAAAGGAAACUGUAUCAGCUAAAGAGAUCUUUGUGUUCACAAGAACAAGGAAACUUGGGCAUUUGUACAAGACCUCGACGAAAACACAACUAGUAAAAUUCCGUUAUGGGUCAUGAACAUCCGGUACGUCUCAUACUGUAUGGAGUGGGGGUUACAAAGACUGCAUUGAAAAUAAAACCUGGAAAUUCUGACCAUUCUUUAAAGGCCACAGAUGAUGUAGUUCAACAAAUGCAAAAUAACGGAGAAACGGAUGGAGGAACAAAAUAAAACUAUGCGACAACAAGCUAUCACAAAAGUAAUUGCACAACUUCAAAAUGCAGGAUUAAUUGAUCGGAACAUACUAGCUGCAUUAUUUGUUCCUCCUCCAAGAGAAACUAGUACUUCCUCACAAGCGGCUUAUCAAGGAGAUUUAAUUGAAGGAGAUGAAAGCAGUACUGAAGACUUGACUUAGGAGUUAACUGGAUUGAUGUUAAUUAACUUUAAUCAUCUAUGUUCUACAAAUAUUUUGAUUUUGAUUAAUAUUGAAAAUUGUGGUGUGUUUCAUCCUUUUUGAACAUUCAAAAAAAAUUGUAUAUUUUG